GUAGGUGGCAAGCGUUGUCCGGAAUUAUUGGGCGUAAAGCGCGCGCAGGCGGGUCCUUUAAGUCUGAUGUGAAAGCCCACGGGCUCAACCGUGGAGGGUCAUUGGAAACUGGGGGACUUGAGUACAGAAGAGGAAAGCGGAAUUCCAAGUGUAGCGGUGAAAUGCGUAGAGAUUUGGAGGAACACCAGUGGCGAAGGCGGCUUUCUGGUCUGUAACUGACGCUGAGGCGCGAAAGCGUGGGGGAGCAAACAGGAUUAGAUACCCUGGUAGUCCACGCCGUAAACGAUGAGUGCUAAGUGUUAGGGGGUUUCCGCCCCUUAGUGCUGCAGCUAACGCAUUAAGCACUCCGCCUGGGGAGUACGGCCGCAAAGGCUG
rnacentral:rRNA from 1 species